rnacentral:rRNA from 1 species
CAAUAUCGCGAGAUGGAGCAAAUCCCUAAAAGCCAUCCCAGUUCGGAUCGCAGGCUGCAACCCGCCUGCGUGAAGUUGGAAUCGCUAGUAAUCGCGGAUCAGCAUGCCGCGGUGAAUACGUUCCCGGGCCUUGUACACACCGCCCGUCACACCAUGGAAGCCGGUAAUACCCGAAGUCAGUAGCUUAACCUUUUAGGAGGGCGCUGCCGAAGGUAGGAUUGGUGACUGGGGUGAAGUCGUAACAAGGUAAC